UUGUUUGGGGAGAGAGUUUUGUUUUUGUUUUCUGAGGAAAGACGGAGGAGUAAAGUUGGAGACGGACAGCCUUCUGGAGAAAAUAACCACAUUAAGCUUCUUCUCAUGUUGAGACCUCGACCGACUGAAGACAGCAAGGAAACCAGCACCGAGGACCAGGAAGCCAGGAAGCCAGGAAGCCAGAAAGCCAGAAAGCCAGAAAGCCAGAAAGCCGACCAUUGAGCAGCAAAUCAGGCCAAAAUCUGAUAUGUCUUCUUCCAUCUAACUCUUCUGGAGUCUUCUACUACAGCUCAUGAACUCUGCCUGCGAGCAUGGAUAUGAAGCUGAUCAAGGUGUCCUUCUCUGUUUACCUCUGUCUCUUCCUGUCCUCACCACAAACCCAGCAGCAGAAGAAAAAAAAAACAGAAAAUGCUGACUACGCAGGAAGGCAGUGACAAGCAGCGAGGCCCGUGAUUGGCCGGGGCCUUAAUCAGCUGUCUGGACUUCAUGGUCCUGAUGAAGACACCUGGAAACAACCUUCAGACCAGGAGCUUCACUGGAUGCUCACUUGGACAUGUCAUCACUGUCAGGAGACACAUCUCCAGAUAUAAAAAUCAUCAACAUCGAUCUCUUCAUCCCUUAUCCACCCCUCAACCUCCACCCAUCAUCCUCCCUGAAUAAAUGGUUAACUGGC